CUUCCCUCUUGCUGCGUGCCUAAUACAUGCAAGUCGAGCGAACGGACGAGAAGCUUGCUUCUCUGAUGUUAGCGGCGGACGGGUGAGUAGCACGUGGAUAACCUACCUAUAAGACUGGGAUAACUUCGGGAAACCGGAGCUAAUACCGGAUGAUAUUUUGAACCGCAUGGUUCAAAAGUGAAAGACGGUCUUGCUGUCACUUAUAGAUGGAUCCGCGCUGCAUUAGCUAGUUGGUAAGGUAACGGCUUACCAAGGCAACGAUGCAUAGCCGACCUGAGAGGGUGAUCGGCCACACUGGAACUGAGACACGGUCCAGACUCCUACGGGAGGCAGCAGUAGGGAAUCUUCCGCAAUGGGCGAAAGCCUGACGGAGCAACGCCGCGUGAGUGAUGAAGGUCUUCGGAUCGUAAAACUCUGUUAUUAGGGAAGAACAUAUGUGUAAGUAACUGUGCACAUCUUGACGGUACCUAAUCAGAAAGCCACGGCUAACUACGUG
rnacentral:rRNA from 1 species